rnacentral:misc_RNA from 1 species
AAGAUAAUGAACAAGAGAAGGAAUUAUUACACCAAUAUUUUAAAUCCAAAUUUAACAUUAUAACCUUAUUUACUAACUUAUGGCAUGUUACAGGUGGAUUUUGAAAACUUGUCUUGACAACCAGAAGUUGAACUGAAAAAAUUAGGUCCCCAAUACAUUCAAUAUGGUACAACAACAAUAUUCCCUACCAAUCAGCACAAACUAUACACGUGCUACUUAAAUAGGUACUAAAUUAUACACAAUUUUGCCAUUGAAUAGUCGCAAACUUCCAAAUGGAAAUCACCAGCUUCAAAUGCCAUUUAUUGCGUUUUUCAAAUUCCCACCAAACAAUGACAUUAGGCCACCACCAUGGACCCUUCCCUCAGGAAUCAUGCAAUCAAAGCUGGUUAUCCUACCAUUGCUGCCAAAGCCACCAGCAGCAUAGCCAGUUCUACCUUCCUCUAGCUUCUCAGCACUAAGGAGACUUGAAUAAGAUGGUGAUGACUUCAUGGAUGGAGGAACCAAUACCAGUGGUGGUAUGAGAUGCUGCCUUUUCAUUGGCUUUUCGAAAGAAUCAGUGCACUCAGAGAUGGCACUAAUUCCAGAUGAAGAAUAAUUGUUGUCAAUGCUGGCUCCUGUAUUUGAUGCGGUAGUUACAAGGCCAUGGAAGAGCCCUGGUGCAAUCAAGCUGCCCUUGUUCGUACCCUGCUCCAGGACCAUGCUGCUAUGUGCAGCACAAAGACCACUCUUACCCCUUGCAAAUUUCUCACAUUUUCCUUCUCCCCAAAUGCAUCGCUUACCGCCACCAUGGGCCUUGCAGAAAUCUGUGCUACCUUGUGCACUCUUCCCACAAUUUUCAAACUUGCACCGCUUCCCUCCCCCAUGCCUAACACAGCAAUCAGUACGGCCACGAGCACUCUUUGUGCAGCCUGGCACGACACACCUCUUUCCACCACCAUGUGCAACACAAAAAUUCGUGCCUCCAUGGACACUUUUUGGACAGAUUCCACCACCAUCAAAAAGGCAACGUUUUCCCCCACCAUGUCCUUUGCACAGUGGAGUACUUCCUUCAGCACCUUUGGUGCAUCCAGCAAAUAUGCAACGCUUUCCUCCACCAUGGGCCUUGCAAAAAAUAGUACUCCCCUGAGCACCCUUUGCGCAUCCUGGAUAUUGGCAGCGUCGACCACCCCCAUGAGAAAUACACAAGCCAGCCUGUCCUUCAGCACUACGAGUGCAGCCUUCAACCUUACACCUCUUCCCCCCACCAUGUUUAAUGCAAAGCCCUGACUUGCCUCGUGCAGCCUUGGUGCACCCUCCUGGAAACCCACAUCUUCUGCCACCCCCAUGAGCUAUGCAAAAAUCUGUCUUCCCCUCAGCACUUUUAGUGCAACCCAAUUGUUGACACCUCCUUCCUCCACCAUGGGCCUUACAAUAUGCAGUUCGGCUCUCAGCCCCUUUGUUGCAACCUGGCUUUUGGCAUCUCUGUCCGCCUCCAUGCCCAAUACAGAGACCAGAUGCCCCCCGUGCUCCUUUUAAACAACCUAAAAACUUGCACUUUUUUGGGUUGCUGGUUUUGCGAUCUGAAGAUGUGGCAGAAGUUGCAUGCUCAGAAACAGUGCCCACUGAGUAAUCUGUGGUAGCAGAUGGUUCAUGGUUCAGCUGCGACUGAUGACUACAAGAUUUAGCCCCAAAUUCAAGAAAUUCUUCUGCAUGCAAUGAAACUUUUCCAACAUCCAAUCUUGGAGCCAAAAGAAGCGAUGGCAUGUACCCACCAGAUUUUUUUGCUGAAGUGGAGCCUUCAUCAACAACAGGAAUCAAGAAUCUAUUAUCAUCAUCAGAAACUCGGUUCAGAAUAGGGGUGUUAAUAUCAGUCUCCAAAAGUGAACUCUCAAGUCCACUCCAAGCUUCCUUGGUCCCUCCAGAAAGGCCAAGUUUUAGAAUUGAAUCAGCAUCCGAUGAUAACCCCUGAGAAAAUAUGGCAGCAGAAGCUGAUACUUUAUCCUUGUUAAACGUCAUGCUGUAAUAAUCAUUACAAUAAGCAGAUGGUGUUGGACCUAAUCCAAGCACCAACUUACAGCCAUCAUCAGGGCCAUUGGGAAAAUCAACCUUACAUAUGCUUCGAGUACUCUCAAAUCCAGUCACACUGCUUCCUCCAUUGGCUAGGCAGUUCAAGCGUAACGUCGUAUCACCAUAGUUUUCAGUUUUAGAAAGUUCGCUGUUAUGACAAAACUGCUUAUCUUUAUCAUUCAGAUCCAUUCUCUAGAUGUUGUGAACUCAAGGACUAAGAAGAACUAAGGAAUAGAGGGCCAACCAACAAUAGUUUUUAUCACAUGCUAAUGGCAUGAAUAAUUACCAAAAUGAAGUGUAAAUGUCCAAAUAGGCUAACUCCCCCACUGACAAAGCCUGAUGUGUCUGACCUGUCCAUCUUUGUACACUUCAGCACUGACAACAGGGAAUUAAAAAAAAUUGCACAUGGACUUAGGUCCUAGAAAUAUCUGACAACAUUUCUAGGAUAAAAUCCUUUAAUGAGAACAAGUAAAAUUGAUAUGAAAGAUCUUGGGAGCGACUCGUGCUCCUUCCUAAAUUAUUUGGCUUCAUCAACCUGCAAAGAGGAAAAUGGAACCAAGACUUUAAUGAUGGAUACGGCCUUUUCCUCAAAAGAUCCAAACCCAAAACAGACAUAUUUUCAGGUAACUUUGGAGUUCACAUAUUCAUCUUUAUACCAAACUAUCAAACAGAAUACUGUCUCUUAAUGCUAAGUAUCAAAGGGAAAUGGAUGCGAUAAUUAGCACAGUAACCGUAAAAAUGAUGAAGUAUCAGCAAAUCAAUACAGAAGAUUUCCCCGUUCAUCAUGACGUAUUUCAAGUUCACAGUCAUAAAAUCCGCACAAGCAUGAACAAAUAUAUGCAUGGAAAAAAGCAUAACCUAUUAAAUAACAACACAAACUUCAAUAUCAAUUAAAUGUUUGCGAAAAGAAGUUAUUCUUUAAAAAAAAUGGUGACAACAAGUCCAAUUUUUCCGCAGAUUAGAUGAGCCUCUUGCUUAUUCUGCAUGAGGAUCAGAUCAGAUUCAACACUAGAGAAAAAGUGCUUCAGAGUUUCAAAGUAAUAUAGAGAUAAUUCUUAGAUCCGCUACCCCGAUGAAAAUUUGACCACAAAGCUAUGAAAGUUUCAACAUGGAAUAAAUAAAUAAAUAAAUAACAACAAGAAGAACAAUAGAAAAACAAGAUUAAUGAUAUGAUGGAAAAAAUAAAUAAGAUGCUUGUGUUGUUCUGUCCAUAUCUCACAGACUACAGUAUCACAUUAUAUUCACAAUCUGCAUUAAAUUUCUCACAAACCUUACCGAAGUCACAUAUUCAGAAAAGAGCUCCUAAAGAUCAAGUAACAAUCCUAUAAUAAUGAAAUUCACUAUGUAACCACAUAUAUUAGCAUUCAAGAAAUUUCUAAAAGACCACAGCAGCCUAUAAACUUAGCUUGAAGUUUAAAACUUACAGAGAUAAAUAAAUUCAUCAAACAAAUCAACUACAAGGGUAUCCUAUUUGCAUCAAAACGAAGCACCAAUAAUACGUAAUAAAGAGUAGAUCUGAACUAAUAAUUGCAUAUCACUACAAACUAUUGCAGCAAAUUUAAACUAAAAA